UACGGGGGGGGCAAGCGUUUGUUCGGAAUUACUGGGGCGUAAAGGGCUCGUAGGCGGCCAACUAAGUCGGAUGUGAAAUCCCCAGGCUUAACCUGGGGAACUGCAUCCGAUACUGGAUGGCUUGAAUCCGGGAGAGGGAUGCAGAAUUCCAGGUGUAGCGGUGAAAUGCGUAGAUAUCUGGAGGAACACCGAUGGCGAAGGCAAUCCCCCUGGG
rnacentral:rRNA from 1 species